rnacentral:sRNA from 1 species
AUUGCCACCUCAGCCUAUAAACGCCAUAGCCUGGGGUCAAUCAAGUAAUAAAUAUUGCUGUGUGUAGUCUUUGCCUGUCAGCCCAUGAUAGGCUUUUUUUUUU